rnacentral:rRNA from 1 species
CCCAGACUCCUACGGGAGGCAGCAGUGGGGAAUAUUGCACAAUGGGGGAAACCCUGAUGCAGCGACGCCGCGUGAAGGACGAAGUAUUUCGGUACGUAAACUUCUAUCAGCAGGGAAGAAAAUGACGGUACCUGACCAAGAAGCCCCGGCUAACUACGUGCCAGCAGCCGCGGUAAUACGUAGGGGGCAAGCGUUAUCCGGAUUUACUGGGUGUAAAGGGAGCGUAGACGGCCGUGCAAGUCUGAUGUGAAAACCCGGGGCUCAACCCCGGGACUGCAUUGGAAACUGCAUGGCUGGAGUGUCGGAGAGGCAAGUGGAAUUCCUAGUGUAGCGGUGAAAUGCGUAGAUAUUAGGAGGAACACCAGUGGCGAAGGCGGCCUGCUGGACGACAACUGACGGUGAGGCGCGAAAGCGUGGGGAGCAAACAGGAUUAGAUACCCCCGUAAA